GGGGCUAAUACCGCAUAACAUCCCUGGGACUCAAGUUUCGGGGAUCAAAGCUCGCAAGAGCGCUCAAGGAGGGGCCCGCGCCUGAUUAGCUAGUUGGUAGGGUAACGGCCUACCAAGGCUUCGAUCAGUAGCCGGCCUGAGAGGGCGAACGGCCACACUGGAACUGAGACACGGUCCAGACUCCUACGGGAGGCAGCAGUGGGGAAUUUUGCGCAAUGGACGAAAGUCUGACGCAGCAACGCCGCGUGGGUGAUGAAGUCCCUUGGGAUGUAAAACCCUGUCAGCUGGGACGAAACGGCCCGCAAGGGCAAUUGACUGUACCAGCAGAGGAAGCCCCGGCUAACUCCGUGCCAGCAGCCGCGGUAAUACGGGGGGGGCAAGCGUUGUUCGGAAUUACUGGGCGUAAAGGGCGUGUAGGCGGCCUAACAAGUCAGCUGUGAAAUCCCCAGGCUCAACCUGGGAAUUGCAU
rnacentral:rRNA from 1 species